rnacentral:rRNA from 1 species
UACGUAGGGGGCAAGCGUUGUCCGGAUUUAUUGGGCGCAAAGAGCGUGUAGGCGGUUAGGUAGGUCCGUUGUGAAAACUCGAGGCUCAACCUCGAGACGCCGAUGGAAACCAUCUGACUAGAGUCCGGAAGAGGAGAGUGGAAUUCCUGGUGUAGCGGUGAAAUGCGCAGAUAUCAGGAGGAACACCAAUUGCGAAGGCAGCUCGCUGGGACGUUACUGACGCUGAGACGCGAAAGCGUGGGGAGCAAACAGG